rnacentral:rRNA from 1 species
AGCGAACGUUAGCGGCGCGCCUAACACAUGCAAGUCGCACGAGAAAGGGAGCAAUCCCCGGUACAGUGGCGCACGGGUGAGUAACACGUAGAUGACCUUCCCUGGAGUGGUGGAUAACCUGCCGAAAGGCGGGCUAAUACAGCAUGGGACCACAUGGUUUUGACCGAGUGGUGAAAGCGGGCCUCUGUUCACAAGCUCGCGCUCUGGGAUGGGUCUGCGUCCCAUCAGCUAGUUGGUGAGGUAAUGGCUUACCAAGGCAUCGACGGGUAGCUGGUCUGAGAGGAUGACCAGCCACACUGGAACUGAGACACGGUCCAGACUCCUACGGGAGGCAGCAGUGGGGAAUCUUGCGCAAUGGGCGAAAGCCUGACGCAGCGACGCCGCGUGGGUGAUGAAGGCCUCGGUUGUAAG